ACACACACAAUGGCCAUAGCGGGGGAGGAGGAAAAACUCAAAAUGGUUAGUGGUUAUGCGAGUCCCUCGUCGUCACCUCCAACUCCACAAUCCCCACUGCCUGUGAGUGUAGGACCUGCACAUUUCCCCUACUAUUUCUCUUCAUCUCCUUCUCCUUCCCCACCAUUCUCACCACCCCCCUCCCCUCAUACAGAUAUCCUCCACCCGACGUCUCCUGCACCGCCUUUUUCCGUGGAUCGCCAACUCCAACCACAUCAUGAACUCCAUUCCACAUGCUCCUGUCUUUUAGACUUAAUAUGCAGGCUGAAAUGGUUCCUUCAUAGAUGUUGCACUUCUUUUACAGCCAGAAAAGGGUUGAAGACAAUGACUAUAUGAGGGAAAAAGCAAAGCCAGACGGAACUUGCAGGAGCCAGUGCUCAAAUGGCUUUAUAGGAACCAUGAUCCUCAGUAAAGGUAUUUCACGAAAAAAUCCCCUGUUAUUGAACAAGUAUUUUGGAAUUUAAGGGAAAAUGUAGUAUUUCCUUCGCUUCAUCUGGAUCCCAUUCUUAUCAUCUCAAAUUGAGACUCCAACUAUAGCUUCUGGUUUAGGUAUAAGGGAAGAACGCGGUACAAGGAAUGUGUAAGAAAGAUGUGGAAUAGCAAAUAAGUGCUGAUGGCAUGACCAUCUGAUUUACAUUUAGUUCUGAAUAAUGUACAAAGCAUGUAAUUAUACAAUCUUCUUUCAACAAAUGUUAUGUUUACGUAAUAAAAAUUUACUGCAACAA